UCUGUUGGGUUUGAUUUGGACCGGAAUAUAGACAUUGCGGCCUAUCAAGAAAUAAAACUUGGGCUAAUCAAACAACGAAAGCCUGCCUAUAGUAGAUACGAGAUAAUGUUGAUGCUCCCUCAUCGGAAGUUUGAGGAUGGGCACUCGUGUGUAGCAUAGUAUAAAUAAAGAAGAUGGUCGAGGAUUGCAAAUUACUUACCUGGACGGGGUUUACGGGUGAUCAUGAAGAUCCGUGGCCUAGGCUGGUGGCUUCCUGCACUUGAGGUGCGCUAAGCCAAAGGUCACCCCAACCAGAAGAAAAAAAAAUUCUGUCUAAGUACCAGCUAGGCUGGUUAUUGGAUAGUGUUAGCGAUCCAAGACACUGAUGGAGGCAAAUCAUUGUAAUGGGCUCAUAGUUGCUGUUAAUGGAUCUGGUGCUUCUC